GCACGUAAAAUAAUUUCUUGUAGCGAAAGAGUGAACAUAAAACACAAACCAUACUUAAAUUACUCCAUUUAAUCUAAUACACAAGUGACAACGGUACAAAUUCGUACAAGGUACUAAUUACAAAUAUAGGACUUCAUGCAUUAUAUAUAUUCUUUAUUCUUAUUCAUUACAAAGUAGUAAUCUUUCUUAAUUUUUUCUAAUGGAAUAUUUAAUUACCAUACUGACCUCCUAGUCCACGAGCACACAUAAUCCACCUUAAUUACCGAAAUCAGAACCAGCUCUUGAUGCAGCAUAUGAGCCUGCCUCCGAACCAGCACCACUUGAUCCUCAUCGAUUGCCUGAACUAGAACCAGCUCUUGAUCCAGCAUAUGAGCCUGCCUCUGAACCCGCACCACCAUUGCUCGAGGAAGUUGAACCUGAGCUUGAACUAGAACUUGAUCUUGAGCCAGAGCCAGAGCCAGAACCGGCUCCUGAACCACUUCCACCUCCUAAGCCCAAGCCUACACCAGCCCCAACGCCCACUCCUACACCACCACCCAAGUCUAGGCCCAAAUCCUUUCGUGCCACCCGGCCUUCAGAGUCCAUAAUAAGAGUUGACAAAACAAGCAAAGCAAGAAAGCUCAAUGCCUUCGCCCUAGUCAUAACUUAAAUUAAAACACUAAAAGUACCAAAAUUACAAAAGCAAAUGUUUGUCAAAGAGUAUUCCUCUAUUUAGCUAUUAUGCUUGAUUUUAUCUUGUUGUGGUGAAACAUGACAAUUGUAACUGUAUUUAUAGUUUUAGAAACUAAGGUUAUGGUUUGGUAAACAAUUAAAUUAAAGGCAGUGGGGGACAUUUAGCAUUAU
rnacentral:lncRNA from 1 species